ACUAGCUGCGACAUCUAGUGACGACAUUUACCGGGCUUUAACGGUUGUUGCUGCAUGAAGUCUGCUGCAAUUUCUCUGAGAUUUCUCAAGAUCAUCAGUUUGGACAGAAUUCAUUUGAAGAAUUAAUAGCACUAGCAGGUUCCAAUAAAGGCUGGAACAGAACAGACAGAAAAGAAUCUGUCAGAAGAAAUUCAACUACUGUUCGUGCACCAGAUGGUGAAGUAGAAAAGUUCGUAAAAACUUCUGCAGCUUGCAUCUGACAGAGAUGCAAAAAGAAUAAGAGAGCGGGCCUGAAAACAAGCAAAUUCAAGUCUUUCCUUCUUUUAGGGUACACUUGAGGAGUGUCCAGAUGUUUAUUAAUGUUUUAUUAAUGUAAUGUUAUGUUUCAAAUAAACAUGUAAACAUACUGUAUAUUUUUCUUUUUUUUUAAACACCU